rnacentral:rRNA from 1 species
GUGGGGAAUCUUGCGCAAUGGGCGAAAGCCUGACGCAGCCAUGCCGCGUGAAUGAUGAAGGUCUUAGGAUUGUAAAAUUCUUUCACCGGGGACGAUAAUGACGGUACCCGGAGAAGAAGCUCCGGCUAACUUCGUGCCAGCAGCCGCGGUAAUACGAAGGGGGCUAGCGUUGCUCGGAAUUACUGGGCGUAAAGGGCGCGUAGGCGGACAGCUUAGUAAGAGGUGAAAGCCAAGGGCUCAACCUUGGAAUUGCCUUUGAUACUGGCUGUCUUGAGUUUGGGAGAGGUGAGUGGAACUCCGAGUGUAGAGGUGAAAUUCGUAGAUAUUCGGAAGAACACCAGUGGCGAAGGCGACUCACUGGACCAAUACUGACGCUGAGGCGCGAAAGCGUGGGGAGCAAACAGGAUUAGAAACCCGAGUAGUCC